CUAAAACAAAACAAUUGCCAACCAACAUUGUGAUAUCUAGUAAAGCUAUGUUUCAGAAUUGAUGAAGAGAUAAAAACUUUCCAUCAUAAGGAUAAACUAAAGAAUUCAUGACUACUAAGCCAGGACUACAAAGAAUACUUAGAUAUAUUACACACAGAAGAAUUCACAAACCCCAACGUUCCCAAAUGGUUGAAGCUUACUAGAAGAGCCACUAAUGGAAUGAAAAUCAAGACCAUAUUAAAUAUAGCAAACAAAAAUGGCAAGAAAUAAAAAAAAAAUCUAUCCAUAAUAACACUGAGUGUAAAUGGUUUCAACUCCCUAAUUAAGAGACAGAAAUGGGCAGAAUGUGUUUACAAAAAAAGUUGCAACAUUAUGCUGUUUGCCAAAGACUCUUCUCAUAGGCAAAGACACUCAUAGGCUGAAAGUAAAAAGAUGGAAAGAAAUAUUCCAUGCAAACAGAGUCCAAAUACAAGCAGGAAUAGCUUUUCUUAUGUCUGACACAUCAGAUUUUAAGCAAAUAUUAAUCACAACAGAUAAAAGUCGGUACAUACUGACAAAGGGAAUAAUCUAAAAUUAGAUAAAAUUAUAGCAAAUAUUUAUGCUCCAAAUGUCAGUGCAACGAAUUUUAUUAAAAACAGUUCCUGACAUAAAAUCCCAAAUAUACCCCAAUAAACUAUGCUGGGUGAUUUCAACACACCCUUAUCACAAAUAGAUCAUUAAUACAAAAUCAAUACAGAUAUUUUCAACCUAAAUAAUUCUUUAAAUCAAAUUGACUUAACAGACAUGUACACAAUAUAUCACCCCCCAAAAAAGCUAAAUUUACUUUUUUCUCAGCAGCUCAUGGAACCUUUUCAAAAUAGACCAUAUUCUGUGUCACAAUGUAAAUCUUAACAAAUACCAAACAGAUGAUAUACCCCCAUGCAGCCUAUUGGAUCAUAAUGGAAUGAAACUAGGAAUAAAUAGCAGGAAAAAUAUAGAAACCACAGAAAAACAGAGAUCUAACAAUACUGUUUUAAAAGAUGAAUGGGUCGCAGAAGAAAGGAGAAAAUCAACAAACUUUUAGAAACAAAGGAGAACAUAGAUACAACAUAUCAAACUCUCUGGGACAGUAUAAAGUCAGUUAUAAGAGGAAAGUUUAUAGCAAUGAGUGUCCAUAUUAAAAAUAAUGAUCCCAAAUAAGUUACCUAGGGCUUCACCUCAAGGACUUAGAAGAAGAAGAAAAGCCAAAUGCCCUACACAGUAGAUGAUAGGAAAUAAU
rnacentral:lncRNA from 1 species